rnacentral:rRNA from 1 species
AGUCAAUAGAUACCCGGGUAGUCCAUGCCGUAAACGAUGAUUGCUAGGUGUGGGGGGUCUGACCCCUUCCGUGCCGGAGUUAAACACAAAUAAGCAAUCCACCUGGGGAGUACGGCCGCAAGGUUGAAACUCAAAGGAAUUGACGGGGGCCCGCACAAGCAGUGGAGUAUGUGGUUUAAUUCGAAGCAACGCGAAGAACCUUACCAGGUCUUGACAUCCACCGAAUCCUGUAGAGAUACGGGAGUGCCCUUCGGGGAACGGUGAGACAGGUGGUGCAUGGUUGUCGUCAGCUCGUGUCGUGAGAUGUUGGGUUAAGUCCCGCAACGAGCGCAACCCUUGUGAAUAGUUGCUACGAAAGAGCACUCUAUUCAGACCGCCGUUGACAAACGGAGGAAGGUGGGGAUGACGUCAAAUCAUCAUGCCCCUUAUGACCUGGGCUACACACGUACUACAAUGGUCGUCAACAGAGGGAAGCAAGACCGCGAGG